rnacentral:rRNA from 1 species
UACGUAGGGGGCAAGCGUUGUCCGGAGUUACUGGGCGUAAAGGGCGUGCAGGCGGUGCAGUAAGUUUGGAGUGACAGUACCCGGCUUCACUGGGUAAGGACUUUGAAAACUGCUGGACUUGAGGGCCAGAGAGGGACAUAGAAUUCCGGGUGGAGUGGUGAAAUGCGUAGAUAUCCGGAGGAAUACCAAAGGCGAAGGCAGUGUCCUGGCUGGCAUCUGACGCUGAGGC